rnacentral:rRNA from 2 species
AGGAGGGAUCAUACCAGCACUAAUGCACCGGAUCCCAUCAGAUCCCCGCAGUUACGCGUGCUUGGGCGGGCAUAGUACUUGGAUGGGUGACCUACUGGAAAUCCCUCGUGUUGCACCUC